AUACCUUUCUCGGCCUUUUGGCUAAGAUCAAGUGUAGUAUCUGUUCUUAUCAGUUUAAUAUCUGAUAUAGCUUGCUAUUGGGGCCUUUGAGUGUCGCCUUGGCGUUGCACCCAGA
rnacentral:snRNA from 2 species